rnacentral:misc_RNA from 1 species
UCCGCUUUACAGCGGCAGUCUCGCUAGAGUCCUCGACAUUACUCGUUAGCAACUAGCGACAGGGGUUGCGCUCGUUAAUGGACUUAACCAAACACUUCACAGCACGAGCUGACGACAGCCAUGCAGCACCUGUGCACGUUGUACCCUUGCGGGCCUCACUCCUGUUUCCAGGAACUAAUCCGUGCAUGUCAAACCCAGGUAAGGUUCUUCGCGUUGCUUCGAAUUAAACCACACGCUCCGCUGCUUGUGCGGGCCCCCGUCAAUUCCUUUGAGUUUUAGCCUUGCGGCCGUACUCCCCAGGCAGGGCACUUAAUGCGUUAGCUGCGACACCGGAGGGGUCGAUACCCCCGACAUCUAGUGCCCAACGUUUACAGCGUGGACUAC